GUUAAAAAGCUCGUAGUUGGAUUUCUGUUGAAGACGACCGGUCCAUACCACGUAUGCGCAUCUGGUUCGGCUUCGGCAUCCUCUCGAAAGACGUUUCUGCGCUUGAUUGCGUGGAGCGGAUCUCGGGACUUUUACUUUGAGGAAAUUAGAGUGUUCACGGCAGGCUAUCGCCAGAAUACAUUAGCAUGGAAUAAUACUAUAGGAUCUCGGUUCUAUUUUGUUGGUUUCUAGAAUUGAGAUAAUGAUUAAUAGGGACAAUUGGGGGCAUUCGUAUCAACACGUUAGAGGUGAAAUUCUUGGAUCGUGUUGCGACGAACUACUGCGAAAGCAUUUGCCAAGGAUGUUUUCAUUGAUCAAGAACGAAAGUAAGGGGAUCGAAGACGAUUAGAUACCGUCGUAGUCUUUACCAUAAACUAUGCCAACUAGAGAUGGGACAUCGUUCACUUAAGACUUGUUCCGCACCUUAUGAGAUAUCAAAGUCUUUGGGUUCCGGGGGGAGUAUGGUCGCAAGUCUGAAACUUAAAGGAAUUGACGGAAGGGCACCACCAGGAGUGGAGCCUGCGGCUUAAUUUGACUCAACACGGGGAAGCUCACCAGGUCCAGACAUAAUAAGGAUUGACAGAUUGAUAGCUCUCUCUUGAUUUUAUGGGUGGUGGUGCAUGGCCGUUCUUAGUUCGUGGAGUGAUUUGUCUGCUUAAUUGCGUUAAC
rnacentral:rRNA from 1 species